rnacentral:rRNA from 1 species
CUACGGGUGGCUCCAGUGGGGAAUAUUGGACAAUGGGGGAAACCCUGAUCCAGCAAUGCCGCGUGUGUGAAGAAGGCCUGCGGGUUGUAAAGCACUUUCGGUUGGGAGGACUGCUUCUAGCACUAAUAUUGUUGGAAGUUGACGUUACCUUCAGAAGAAGCACCGGCUAGCUCCGUGCCAGCAGCCGCGGUAAUACGGAGGGUGCAAGCGUUAAUCGGAAUUACUGGGCGUAAAGCGCGCGUAGGCGGCGAGAUCAGUCGGGUGUGAAAGCCCCGGGCUUAACCUGGGAACUGCAUCCGAUAAUGUCUAGUUGGAGUACAGGAGAGGGGAGUGGAAUUCCACAUGUAGCGGUGAAAUGCGUAGAUAUGUGGAGGAACACCAAUGGCGAAGGCAGCUCUCUGGCCUGAUACUGACGCUGAGGUGCGAAAACGUGGGGAGCAAACAGGAUUAGAUACCCCUGUAGUC